GGUGCUGGAUGGAAUUAGUGUCCCCGGGCGGUCGGGGCUGCGUGGGUGCCGCUAACGGGCUUGGGUGAAAAGAACAGACAGCAAGGAUUAAUGCAAGAGGAAAGGGGAUGGAGCAGAGCUUCAGACAUCAUCUGCUUACGUGCCUGACCAGAUGCUGAGGAAUACGUCUGGUCCAGGUAGCUGGGAUCGCAAGCUGCCGAUUGAAAUCUAGGUUAAGCUUUGGGUGGGAGCCUGAGACAAGAGGCCGUGAGCUGCCAGCCUUCGGGAUGUCCAAGGGCGCGAAGAUGGGAGAUGCUGGUCAGGUGAACAGACUCUGGGAGACACAGCAGGAGCCUGGAUUGCCUCUUUGGGUAACAAAGGAGAUGAAGACCGGUGACUCCAGCGAAGUCCUUGAGCAUGGAGAGUGGGACAAGAGCCCAAGGCUCGGGCGGAAGAGCGAGACUGGCUCAGGGGGCCCCUGUGAGGCUGCAGAAGCCCAGAGGUUCUUUGUGUAGGUGCUCUCCUCAGAGGCACCAGCUCGAGCUGUGUCUGUGUCACUGCACAGGAAUAAACUGCUUUAUGGAACGAGGUAUCUGAGACUCUGCUGUGGGAGGCCGGGCUCGAGCCGGUGAGGAAGCCUGGUGUGACCGUGUGAGAGUGGCAGUGCGGGGAGAUGCGUCAGGCCUCACCUCAGCGGAGCCUUUGGCCCUGUGACACCUUUGGGCUGUGGGACUCGGAGUUCUGUGGAUGGCCAGACUGGAAGUUUCCCUAACACCCAUGGCACACUCAGAAAGUUACUUUCUGAUAAGUGUGGCUUAGUUGGCACUGACACAGGAAUACAAACAUGGCAGAUGGCCUGUAUAAAAACGUAGUACAGAAAGCAAAAUAUUUGCCAUCUUAGAAGAAAGGCAAGUUUUUAUUUACAAGAUGGCAACAUGGGAUAAACAUGAGUCAUCUCUGUGCUCUUCAGGAGAAAGUAUUUAAUCUCAACUUUUCAACUGGACACAUGCUCAGCCACAAAAUAGUUUUGUUUUUACAGGUUACUCCCCAGCUAAGACCAGGAAACCUUAAUUCUAUGUCAAAUAUUUCAGAAUGGUAUCAAU